rnacentral:rRNA from 1 species
CCUACGGGAGGCAGCAGCAGGGAAUAUUGCACAAUGGGCGAAAGCCUGAUGCAGCGACACCGCGUGCGGGAUGACGGCCUUCGGGUUGUAAACCGCUUUCAGGAGGGACGAAAAUGACGGUACCUCCAGAAGAAGCUCCGGCCAACUACGUGCCAGCAGCCGCGGUAAUACGUAGGGAGCAAACGUUGUCCGGAUUUAUUGGGCGUAAAGGGCUCGUAGGCGGUUCAGCAAGUCGGUCGUGAAAGCCCGGGGCUCAACCCCGGGAUGCCGGUCGAAACUGUUGUGACUAGAGUUCGGUAGAGGUGAGUGGAAUUCUCAGUGUAGCGGUGGAAUGCGCAGAUAUUGAGAGGAACACCAUUAGCGAAGGCGGCUCACUGGGCCGAUACCGACGCUGAGGAGCGAAAGCGUGGGGAGCAAACAGGAUUAGAUACCCUGGUAGUCCACCCCGUAAACGAUGAACACUAGGUGUAGCGGAUUUAUUCACGUCUGCUGUGCCGUAGCUAACGCAUUAAGUGUUCCGCCUGGGGAGUACGGCCGCAAGGCUAAAACUCAAAGGAAUUGACGGGG